rnacentral:tRNA from 1 species
GGAGAGAUGGCUGAGUGGCUGAAAGCGGCAUCCUGCUAAGAUGUUGAACCCCCAACAGGGUUCCGAGGGUUCGAAUCCCUCUCUCUCCG